rnacentral:rRNA from 1 species
AUACGGAGGGGGCUAGCGUUGUUCGGAAUUACUGGGCGUAAAGCGCGCGUAGGCGGAUUGAUCAGUCAGAGGUGAAAUCCCAGGGCUCAACCCUGGAACUGCCUUUGAUACUGUCAGUCUUGAGUUCGGGAGAGGUGAGUGGAAUUCCGAGUGUAGAGGUGAAAUUCGUAGAUAUUCGGAGGAACACCAGUGGCGAAGGCGGCUCACUGGCUCGAUACUGACGCUGAGGUGCGAAAGCGUGGGGAGCAAACAGGAUUAGAAACCCCAGUAGUCC